GUCUCAAACAUUUACCACUUAGGCUGCGUUUCCACUGGAGAGGAGCUGAGCUGCGUUGUGAGGAAUGUGCUUUACAAGAACCAAUAGCUGAAUCGUUGCGCUGAACGUGGUCAAGCAAAUGAUGCGU